UGGGGAAUAUUGCACAAUGGGCGCAAGCCUGAUGCAGCGACGCCGCGUGGGGGAUGACGGCCUUCGGGUUGUAAACUCCUUUCGUUAGGGACGAAGCCACAUUUUUUUGGGUGUGGUGACGGUACCUUUGUUAAGAAGCACCGGCUAACUACGUGCCAGCAGCCGCGGUAAUACGUAGGGUGCGAGCGUUGUCCGGAAUUACUGGGCGUAAAGAGCUCGUAGGUGGUUUGUUGCGUCGUCUGUGAAAUU
rnacentral:rRNA from 1 species